UUGGAAAGAUCCUUAAUCCCCAAGAUGUUGCUGAUGUGUAGUGAGCACCUUGCAUGUGCCCUGACAUCAGUGUGUGAAUGGGUGAAUGUGAGGUAUUACUAUAAAACGCUUUGAGCUUGUGAUAUAGACAGAAAAGCGCUAUAUAAAUGCAGUGUGUAUACCACCGCUCAUUGU